rnacentral:rRNA from 1 species
RUAGCAUAAUCAUUAGUUUUUUAAUUGGAAACUUGUAUGAAAGGUUGAACAAAAGAAGUUCUGUCUCUAUUUUUAAUAUUGAAUUUAACUUUUAAGUGAAAAGGCUUAAAUUUUUUAAGGGGACGAUAAGACCCUAUAAAGCUUUAUAAAAAUAUAAUAAUUUCUAAAAGUAGUUUAUAUUAUGAAUAUAUUGAUUUUUUAUUUUGUUGGGGCGAUUCAGAUAAAAUUAUAAUUAACUGUCAGGGUUAAACACAUAGAUUUAUGCAAAUUUAAAUGAUCCUAGUUAAAGAUUAAAAGACAAAGUUACUUUAGGGAUAACAGCGUUAUUUCUUUUAAGAGUUCUUAUUGAAAAAGAAGUUUGCGACCUCGAUGUUGAAUUAAAAUAUCUUUACAGUGUAGCCGUUGUAAGAAGAGGGUCUGUUCGACCUAUAAUUUUUUA